rnacentral:rRNA from 1 species
AGAGCGAACGCUGGCGGCAGGCCUAACACAUGCAAGUCGAACGGAUCCUUCGGGAUUAGUGGCGGGCGGGUGAGUAACACGUGGGAACGUGCCUUUAGGUUCGGAACAACUCAGGGAAACUUGAGCUAAUACCGGAUGUGCCCUUAGGGGGAAAGAUUUAUCGCCUUUAAAGCGGCCCGCGUCUGAUUAGCUAGUUGGUGAGGUAAAGGCUCACCAAGGCGACGAUCAGUAGCUGGUCUGAGAGGAUGACCAGCCACAUUGGGACUGAGACACGGCCCAAACUCCUACGGGAGGCAGCAGUGGGGAAUCUUGCGCAAUGGGCGAAAGCCUGACGCAGCCAUGCCGCGUGUAUGAUGAAGGUCUUAGGAUUGUAAAAUACUUUCACCGGUGAAGAUAAUGACUGUAGCCGGAGAAGAAGCCCCGGCUAACUUCGUGCCAGCAGCCGCGGUAAUACGAAGGGGGCUAGCGUUGCUCGGAAUUACUGGGCGUAAAGGGAGCGUAGGCGGACAUUUAAGUCAGGGGUGAAAUCCCAGAGCUCAACUCUGGAACUGCCUUUGAUACUGGAUGUCUUGAGUAUGAGAGAGGUAUGUGGAACUCCGAGUGUAG